AUUGAACGCUGGCGGCAGGCCUAACACAUGCAAGUCGAGCGAGCGGCGGACGGGUGAGUAAUGAAUGUGGAUCGGCCUGGUGGAGGGGGAUCACUACCGGAAACUGUUGCUACUACCGCACACUAUAGGAUGGACCCAAGUGGGAAUAGCUAGUUGGGGGGGUAAAGGCUCACCAAGACGACGAUCUCUAGCUGGUCUAAGAGGAUGAUCAGCCACACUGGAACGGAGACACGGUCCAGACUCCUACGGGAGGCAGCAGGGGGGAAUAUUGCACAAGGGGCGCAAGCCUGAUGCAGCCAUGCCGCGUGUGUGAAGAAGGCCGUAGGGUUGUAAAGCACUUUAAGUGGGGAGGCGUUACCAACAGAAUAAGCACCGGCUAACUCCGUGCCAGCAGCCGCGGUAAUAC
rnacentral:rRNA from 1 species